rnacentral:rRNA from 1 species
UACGUAGGGGGCGAGCGUUGUCCGGAUUUAUUGGGCGUAAAGAGCUCGUAGGCGGUUUGGCAAGUCGGGUGUGAAAACUCCGGGCUCAACUCGGAGACGCCACUCGAUACUGCCAUGACUCGAGUCCGGUAGGGGAGUGCGGAAUUCCUGGUGUAGCGGUGAAAUGCGCAGAUAUCAGGAGGAACACCGGUGGCGAAGGCGGCACUCUGGGCCGGUACUGACGCUGAGGCGCGAAAGCUGGGGGAGCAAACGGG